ACGUAGGUGGCAAGCGUUGUCCGGAUUUACUGGGCGUAAAGAGCGCGCAGGCGGUCAUUCAAGUCGAGUGUGAAAGCCCCCGGCUCAACUGGGGAGGGUCACUCGAUACUGUUUGACUCGAAGGCGGGAGAGGGAAGUGGAAUUCCCGGUGUAGUGGUGAAAUGCGUAGAUAUCGGGAGGAAGGCCGGUGGCGAAGGCGGCGCUCUGGAACAUUUCUGACGCUGAGGCUCGAAAGCGUGGGGAGCAAACAGGA
rnacentral:rRNA from 1 species